rnacentral:rRNA from 1 species
UACGGGGGGUGCAAGCGUUAUUCGGAAUCAUUGGGCGUAAAGAGCACGUAGGCGGCCUAGUAAGUCAGAUGUGAAAGCCCUGGGCUUAACCCGGGAAGUGCAUUUGAUACUGCUAGGCUUGAGUAUGGGAGAGGGAAGUGGAAUUCCUGGUGUAGAGGUGAAAUUCGUAGAUAUCAGGAGGAACACCGGUGGCGAAGGCGACUUCCUGGACCAAUACUGACGCUGAGGUGCGAAGGCGUGGGUAGCAAACAGG